rnacentral:rRNA from 1 species
UACGUAGGGUCCGAGCGUUGUCCGGAAUUAUUGGGCGUAAAGAGCUCGUAGGCGGUUUGUCGCGUCGGCUGUGAAAACUCGGGGCUCAACCCCGAGCCUGCAGUCGAUACGGGCAGACUAGAGUGCUGUAGGGGAGACUGGAAUUCCUGGUGUAGCGGUGAAAUGCGCAGAUAUCAGGAGGAACACCGGUGGCGAAGGCGGGUCUCUGGGCAGUAACUGACGCUGAGGAGCGAAAGCGUGGGGAGCGAACAGG